rnacentral:rRNA from 1 species
UACGUAGGGGGCUAGCGUUAUCCGGAAUUACUGGGCGUAAAGGGUGCGUAGGUGGUUUCUUAAGUCAGAGGUGAAAGGCUACGGCUCAACCGUAGUAAGCCUUUGAAACUGGGAAACUUGAGUGCAGGAGAGGAGAGUGGAAUUCCUAGUGUAGCGGUGAAAUGCGUAGAUAUUAGGAGGAACACCAGUUGCGAAGGCGGCUCUCUGGACUGUAACUGACACUGCGGCACGAAAGCGUGGGGAGCAAACAGGAUUAGAUACCCGGGUAGUCACUGAGCGGG